UUUUCAAAGGAGAGAGAAGGAAAAGUUGAAUUCCCAUGGGAAUAUGAUUCCCACAUUUCAUGGGAAAGUCUUUCCCAUGAGAAACAUGGGAAAGUUACUUUCCCAUGAGGCAGGAAUUACUCCAUUUUUACUUUUUCCCAAAAAGACCCUUCAGCAUUAAAGAAGCAUUAAAGAGAUAUUAAAAACCUAAUUUUUAUUAAGGGCAUAAUAGGAAUUAUACAUAACUUUCCUAGGAAAGUGGAUGGCCAACCAAACAUAAGUACUUUGGAAAU
rnacentral:lncRNA from 1 species